rnacentral:tRNA from 1 species
GCAAUGGUGGUUCAGUGGUAGAAUUCUUGCCUUUUAUGCAGGAGACGCAGGUUUGAUCUCUGGCCAAUGCA